rnacentral:lncRNA from 1 species
GAGAACAACAGGUGUGGUGGCACACGCUUUUAAAUCCCAGCUCUCAGGAGGCCCAGGGAAGUGGAUCACUGUGAGUUUGAGGCCAGCCUGAUCUACAAAGAGAGUCCAGGACAGCUAGAGCUAUUACACAUAAAAAAUAAAUAAAUAAAUAAAUAAAUAAAUAAAUAAAUAAAUAACCCAAAUACUGCAUCCUGGUUUUCUUUCUCAGUAGUGGUGGAUUGUUUUUGGUUUUGUGAGAAAGUCUCGUGCAUAGCUUAGUCUGGCCUUGAACUCCCUAUGGUUGACCCUGAAUCCCUCAUCUUCAACGUGCUAGAGUUACUAGUAUGGCAUCUACUCCUUGCUCUCUCUUAGUUUAUAUCAUCCUUAUUAGCACAAACCCAUUGCACCUGUGGUGGCUUCAGCCAUCUUGUUUGUCCCUCAGGUCCUACAAAACAAUACGUAUGUCAUUCACUGUGGUGCCCCGAGUUCUAGAGUUAGUCCUGGCAUGUGGUGGGCUCCAUCACGCUGACUCUCUGGGGAUGCUACUCCUACUCUCGCCACCCUCCAGCCUUAGCCUGGCUGUUACUUCCUCAAGGAAGAAGCCUCAGGUCACCAAUGCCUCCCUAACUCCCAACAAAUGUGACCCUGGCAUGUAGCAUA